GUCAAAUCAUACUGAAAGGACUAGUUCUCAUUUGAUCACCAAAGUUAAGCAGUGUCAAGCUUGGUCAGUACUUAACAGGGGAAGCACUUGGGAACAUUGGGUGUUGCAA